UACGGAGGGUGCGAGCGUUAAUCGGAAAUACUGGGCGUAAAGCGCACGCAGGCGGUUUGUUAAGCUAGAUGUGAAAGCCCCGGGCUCAACCUGGGAUGGUCAUUUAGAACUGGCAGACUAGAGUCUUGGAGAGGGGAGUGGAAUUCCAGGUGUAGCGGUGAAACGCGUAGAUAUCUGGAGGAACAUCAGUGGCGAAGGCGACUCCCUGGCCAAAGACUGACGCUCAUGUGCGAAAGUGUGGGUAGCGAACAGG
rnacentral:rRNA from 1 species